AUUGAACGCUGGCGGCAGGCCUAACACAUGCAAGUCGAGCGGAUGAAGGGAGCUUGCUCCUGGAUUCAGCGGCGGACGGGUGAGUAAUGCCUAGGAAUCUGCCUGGUAGUGGGGGAUAACGUCCGGAAACGGGCGCUAAUACCGCAUACGUCCUGAGGGAGAAAGUGGGGGAUCUUCGGACCUCACGCUAUCAGAUGAGCCUAGGUCGGAUUAGCUAGUUGGUGGGGUAAAGGCCUACCAAGGCGACGAUCCGUAACUGGUCUGAGAGGAUGAUCAGUCACACUGGAACUGAGACACGGUCAAGACUCCUACGGGAGGGAGCAGUGGGGAAUAUUGGACAAUGGGCGAAAGCCUGAUCCAGCCAUGCCGCGUGUGUGAAGAAGGUCUUCGGAUUGUAAAGCACUUUAAGUUGGGAGGAAGGGCAGUAAGUUAAUACCUUGCUGUUUUGACGUUACCAACAGAAUAAGCACCGGCUAACUUCGUG
rnacentral:rRNA from 1 species